UACGGAGGGGGCCAGCGUUGUUCGGAAUUAUUGGGCGUAAAGGGCGCGUAGGCGGCCGGAUAAGUCUGAUGUGAAAUCCCACGGCUCAACCCGUGGAACUGCAUUUGAAACUGUUCGGCUCGAGUCCGGGAGAGGGUAGUGGAAUUCCCAGUGUAGCGGUGAAAUGCGUAGAUAUUGGGAGGAACACCGGUGGCGAAGGCGGGUCUCUGGACAGUUCCUGACGCUGAGGCACGAAGGCCAGGGGAGCAAACGGG
rnacentral:rRNA from 1 species